GGGCCCAUAGCUCAGCUGGUUAGAGCGCUGCCUUCACACGGCAGAGGUCAGAGGUUCGAGUCCUCUUGGGCCCA
rnacentral:tRNA from 4 species